rnacentral:rRNA from 1 species
GAUGAACGCUGGCGGCGUGCCUAAUACAUGCAAGUCGAGCGAACGGACGAGAAGCUUGCUUCUCUGAUGUUAGCGGCGGACGGGUGAGUAACACGUGGAUAACCUACCUAUAAGACUGGGAUAACUUCGGGAAACCGGAGCUAAUACCGGAUAAUAUUUUGAACCGCAUGGUUCAAAAGUGAAAGACGGUCUUGCUGUCACUUAUAGAUGGAUCCGCGCUGCAUUAGCUAGUUGGUAAGGUAACGGCUUACCAAGGCAACGAUGCAUAGCCGACCUGAGAGGGUGAUCGGCCACACUGGAACUGAGACACGGUCCAGACUCCUACGGGAGGCAGCAGUAGGGAAUCUUCCGCAAUGGGCGAAAGCCUGACGGAGCAACGCCGCGUGAGUGAUGAAGGUCUUCGGAUCGUAAAACUCUGUUAUUAGGGAAGAACAUAUGUGUAAGUAACUGUGCACAUCUUGACGGUACCUAAUCAGAAAGCCACGGCUAACUACGUGCCAGCAGCCGCGGUAAUACGUAGGUGGCAAGCGUUAUCCGGAAAUAUUGGGUGUAAAGCGCGCGUAGGCGGUUUUUUAGUCUGAUGUGAAAGCCCACGGCUCAACCGUGGAGGGUCAUUGGAAACUGGAAAGCUUGAGUGCAGAAGAGGAAAGUGGAAUUCCAUGUGUAGCGGUGAAAUGCGCAGAGAUAUGGAGGAACACCGGUGGCGAAGGCGACUUUCUGGUCUGUAACUGACGCUGAUGUGCGAAAGCGUGGGGAUCAAACAGGAUUAGAUACCCUGGUAGUCCACGCCGUAAACGAUGAGUGCUAAGUGUUAGGGGGUUUCCGCCCCUUAGUGCUGCAGCUAACGCAUUAAGCACUCCGCCUGGGGAGUACGACCGCAAGGUUGAAACUCAAAGGAAUUGACGGGGACCCGCACAAGCGGUGGAGCAUGUGGUUUAAUUCGAAGCAACGCGAAGAACCUUACCAAAUCUUGACAUCCUUUGACAACUCUAGAGAUAGAGCUUUCCCCUUCGGGGGACAAAGUGACAGGUGGUGCAUGGUUGUCGUCAGCUCGUGUCGUGAGAUGUUGGGUUAAGUCCCGCAACGAGCGCAACCCUUAAGCUUAGUUGCCAUCAUUAAGUUGGGCACUCUAAGUUGACUGCCGGUGACAAACCGGAGGAAGGUGGGGAUGACGUCAAAUCAUCAUGCCCCUUAUGAUUUGGGCUACACACGUGCUACAAUGGACAAUACAAAGGGCAGCGAAACCGUGAGGUCAAGCAAAUCCCAUAAAGUUGUUCUCAGUUCGGAUUGUAGUCUGCAACUCGACUACAUGAAGCUGGAAUCGCUAGUAAUCGUAGAUCAGCAUGCUACGGUGAAUACGUUCCCGGGUCU